GACGAACGCUGGCGGCGUGCUUAACACAUGCAAGUCGAACGGAAAGGCCCUGCUUUUGUUGGGUGCUCGAUUGGCGAACAGGUGAGUAACACGUGAGUAACCUGCCCUUUACUUUGGGGUAAAUUCAGGAAACUGGGGCUAAUACCGGAUAGGAGCUCCUGCUGCAUGUGGUUGGUUGGAAAGUUUCGGCGGUUGUGGAUGGACUCGCGGCUUAUCAGCUUGUUGGUGGGGUAGUGGCUUACAAAGGCUUUGACGGGUAGCCGGCCUGAGAGGGUGACCGGCCACAUUGGGACUGAGAUACGGCCCAGACUCCUACGGGAGGCAGCAGUGGGGAAUAUUGCACAAUGGGCGGAAGCCUGAUGCAGCAACGCCGCGUGCGGGAUGACGGCCUUCGGGUUGUAAACCGCUUUCGCCUGUGACGAAGCGUGAGUGACGGUAAUGGGUAAAGAAGCACCGGCUAACUACGUG
rnacentral:rRNA from 1 species